GUUAUGUGGCAAACAUACCUUUCAGAAUUGAGAUUUGAACUCAGCUCUGUCUUAUAUUGCAAAACCCAUGUUCAAAGUCUUUAAAGUAGUAAGUUCAGUACCAGACACAUACCAAGGUUAUUUUCUUUAUACCCCCGGCCCAAUCUUAAAGUUUACCCUCUUUAACAAGGUACAGAGGCCUAUUCCAACAUGGGUGGCUUAUCUCCCCAAAUGCAUCUCCUUUCACUCCCCUUGGCCCAUCUCCAGCACCACCAAUCAGACCACAUCUGGCCACUCACUAUUUCCCAAUCUUUCCCUUUUCUUUCAUAUCUUUGUCUUUGCAAUCCUCUUUCCCAUGGGUGGCAAGACUUUUUUUGUCCCUUUUCCGUCCUUGUCUGCAAGCACCAGGUCAGACAGCACCUAUCCUGUGAUACUUCUCCUGAUCCCCCAAACCAGAAUCCAUGGCUCCAACCUCCCUUUGCCAACGCCCCUUGUUAUUUUAUUUGUGCCUAUUUUGUGCUGAUUGUAUUGGAGCAUGGCUAUCCGGGCCUUUCUCUGUGUUGUCCCUGUAUCCUGGGAGCCUGGCAACAUGCCUGGGAUCCAGCAGGCACGCAGUAGAAGUUUGUUUAGUUCAAUCCUUCAUCCCUCCCUAUGAUGAAUGCUUACUUCAACCAUCUUGCAAAGGUUAGAUGUCUCUGAAUUGCUGCUGACGACGUCUGUUCUCUCUGACUUCUAUACCCACAUCCCCAUUGAAGCUGCUCUUGGCAAAGUCACCAGAGUCCUCUUAUGUUACUAGGCCCCCCAGCCCUCUCUUGCCCUAACCCUCCUACUCUCAGCAACAUGGAGCACAGCUGCCCCCCUUCUUCUGUGAGCCUCUCCUGGCUCCACAGCCUGUUGUAUUCUGUGCCUCUUGACCUCUUUCCAUCCCGCAUGUGACUUUCGGAAAUGAAGGGCCUCAGGCUUGUCCUGGGCUCCUUUCUCCUGAAUGACCAGCCUGUUCCCUACAGUUUAAAACACUGCCUCCACCUUCAGCUCUCAGCUCUAGAUUCAAAUAUUUAAUGACCUGCUUGACUUAGAUGCUACUUAGGUUUCAGGCUUAAAAGCCUAACAAUUGACUGUCUCCGCUUUGCCCCGCAAGCCUUUCCUCUCUUGGUCCUUCCCUUUAGCAAAAGACACAAUCGUGAUCAUGGGUCCUCUUCCUGGGAACUUGGCAGCCACUCUCUUGGAAGAAGAAGAAAGUGUCCUGGCAGAGAGGCGCAAUCCAGGAAUGUCCAAAUAUCGUGGAUUCCAGCGUCUGACUUGGGCUUGGAAAAAGAACAGAUUCUUUAAGCUAAUAUUUGAUGCUCAGCAGGUUUGGAGGUUUGGCCCAAGCCCAUCUCAUCAGCCCCAGCUUUCAUCUCAGCCCUAGAUCAGAAAUGGACAGACUGGUCCAAAUCUGGCUCAUGGUAUAUUUUUAUACAGCCCGUAAGCAAAGACUGUUUCUUAUAUGUUUUAAUAAUUGAAAGCAUACCAAAAGAAGAAUAAUAUGUUGUGACACAUGAAAAUGAUACAUGUUGGGCACAGUGGCAAACGCGUGUAACCCCAGCUACCCGGGAGGCUGAGCCAGAAGGAUCGCAAGUUCCAGGCCAGAUUGGGCAACUUAGUGAGGCCCUGACUCAAAAUAAGAAAGGGCUGGGUGGGGGGCGGGGAAGCUCAGUGAGAAAGUAUCCCCGGGUUCAAUCCCCAGUCCACACACCAAAAAAAAAAAAAAAACUACGAUGAAAUUCACAUUUCCGUUUCUAUAAAAUAAAGUUGUAUGGAACAAAACCACACUUGUUUGUUUACUAAUAACCCACCUGUGCU
rnacentral:lncRNA from 1 species